CCAUUAAAUAAACUAAUAUUAGGUAGAUAUAGUUUAAUGAUAUAUUUGAUUUUUUCGUCUGUUAACAGUGAAAUAGAUUUAAAGAUAAUUCACAGUGAAUUAAUUCGUAUAAUUUUGUUGUGUUGAAAAGUUUGGGAAUGUACUCGCUUUGUAAAUGAUUUAUUUUCUAUCCAAUACACCCUUGACGGGUGACAAUAAUUCACAACACACGUAUCGUAUAGGUUCAGAUCAUGCGGAACAGAUACGUCAUAUAAGUAAAUAUGGGCUAAUUUAUUAAUCAUUACUAUCAAAAUAAAUAUUAUAAUUAGAUUUAGUUGAGUUUUGUCUUCGAGCUGCAACUGAACUG